rnacentral:rRNA from 1 species
AGAACGAACGCUGGCGGCAGGCCUAACACAUGCAAGUCGAACGCCCCGCAAGGGGAGUGGCAGACGGGUGAGUAACGCGUGGGAACAUACCCUUUGGUUCGGAAUAACUCAGGGAAACUUGAGCUAAUACCGGAUACGUCCGCGAGGAGAAAGAUUCAUCGCCGAAGGAUUGGCCCGCGUCCGAUUAGCUAGUUGGUGAGGUAAUGGCUCACCAAGGCGACGAUCGGUAGCUGGUCUGAGAGGAUGAUCAGCCACAUUGGGACUGAGACACGGCCCAAACUCCUACGGGAGGCAGCAGUGGGGAAUAUUGGACAAUGGGCGAAAGCCUGAUCCAGCCAUGCCGCGUGAGUGAUGAAGGCCCUAGGGUUGUAAAGCUCUUUCGUCAGGGACGAUAAUGACGGUACCUGAAGAAGAAGCCCCGGCUAACUACGUGCCAGCAGCCGC